UCAAGUUCAUAUCAACAUUUCCUAGUUUCUUGUGUAGCCCAUUAGUCCGCCAGUUAUACAACAUCCGAUGAAUAAAAUCCCUGGUGUUUUUCACAAAGAUCAGUUAGAUUUUGUCAGGGAUCAAUUUCUAGUUCCUAUUCCUCAAAAAAGACCGGCUUAAUUCGUCAUCUUAUUAGAUAGUUGAUCCUGAUAUUGAUGAUUGUAAAGAGAGAGGAAAGGAAAUAGUGAAGAAAAUGGCAUUAAUAGAAAGGGUAUUCAAGUGCGAGUGUUGGAGCCGGCGACGAGAG
rnacentral:lncRNA from 1 species